rnacentral:rRNA from 1 species
AUCCUGGCUCAGAUUGAACGCUGGCGGCAUGGCUAAAGCAUGCAAGUCGAACGAGAAGCACCUUCGGGUGCGGAAAGUGGCGAAAGGGCGAGGAACACGAUCGAACGUACCCCAAGGUGGAGGAUAGCGUCGAGAAAUCGGACAGUAAUACUCCAUGUGCUCUUCGGAGGAAAGCUUUGGCGCCUCGGGAGCGGCGAUCGUCCUAUCAGGUAGUUGGUGAGGUAACGGCUCACCAAGCCGAAGACGGGUAGCGGGUGUGAGAGCAUGACCCGCCGCAUCGGAACUGAGACACUGCCCGGACUCCUACGGGAGGCUGCAGCGACGAAUCUUCCGCAAUGGGCGCAAGCCUGACGGAGCAAUGCCGCGUGUGGGACGAAGCAUCUUCGACGUGUAAACCACUGUCAGAAUCUAGGAACACUGACCAGAAUCAAAGGAAGGGCCGGCUAACCUCGUGCCAGCAGCCGCGGUAAUACGAGGGGCCCGAGCGUUAAUCAGAAUCACUGGGCUUAAAGCGUGCGCAGGCGGUCCAGCAAGCGUCUUGUGAAAUCCCUCGGCUCAACCGGGGAAGUGCAGGGCGAACUGCUGGACUUGAGGCAGGUAGGGGCUGAUGGAACCAUGAGUGGAGCGGUGAAAUGCGUAGAUAUCCAUGGGAACGCCGAUGGGGAAGCCGAUCAGCUGGGCCUGUCCUGACGCUCAGGCACGAAAGCGUGGGGAGCAAACAGGAUUAGAUACCCUGGUAGUCCACGCCGUAAACGAUGCACACUAGGUCGGGGCAGCUCUGACGCUGUCUCGGCCGAAGGAAAACUAUUAAGUGUGCCGCCUGGGGAGUACGGUCGCAAGGCUAAAACUCAAAGGAAUUGACGGGGGCUCACACAAGCGGUGGAGCAUGUUGCUUAAUUCGAGGCAACGCGAAGAACCUUAUCCUAGGCUUGACAUGUAUGGAUUAGCUGUUGGAAACUUCAGUAACGCCCUUGGGUGGAACAUACACAGGUGCUGCAUGGCUGUCGUCAGCUCGUGCUGUGAAGUGUCGGGUUAAGUCCCUUAACGAGCGCAACCCCUGUCGUUAGUUGCCAACGCGUAAUGGCGUGCACUCUAGCGAGACUGCCGGUGUCAAACCGGAGGAAGGUGGGGACGACGUCAAGUCCUCAUGGCCCUUAUGCCUAGGGCUGCAAACGUGCUACAAUGGCACGGACAGAGCGAGGCGAUCCCGCGAGGGUGAGCAAAUCGCAAAAACUGUGCCCCAGUUCGGAUAGCAGG